CCCCUUAUUUUGCUCGUUCAAGCUUUGACUUGACACGACAUUGGAAAAUUUUAAGUUACUGUUACUGUAAUGGACAAACAAACCAAGUUAGAUGAUAACAAGAUAAUAAUAAAAUAUAUGACUAGGAGUGUUUUAGAAAUAAUAGAAUUUUCUAAAUAAAUGAAGGCCUUUUCAUUGAAAUUUGGGAGAUAAUUAUAAAAUUGUGGCUCAUGACUUGCGCAAAUACAAGUCCAUGCCUUUUUGAAAGCAGUAAGAUACGAAAAGAAAGUUUUGAGAUAUAAAAAGUGGAUCGCGGGGCCUCCUCCGGAUCAUCACCGAUUUUAAAAACUAUCAGUAAUUUCUCUUUCAUCUAUUACGAUGGGCGACGGGUUAUGAGUGGAGCGGAGGUCCAAUUUUGCAAGGCCUCUCCUGGCAUAAUCUUCUCCAUCCCACUGGACUUUGGGAGAUCUUUUGGUAUAGCAUUGCAUCCUUCGAACAAAUCUCCUAUCCCAUUCCUAAGACCAUCAUCAUCUAACACCUCUCGUACUGGAAAUGACUGGAACAGGAGUGGCAAGGGCCCAAAUAGACUCCUCUCGGGCUCAUCCUCAACCCUAUCCUUUCUGGUAGGCUGAUAUCCUAACCCGUACUUAGAGCCUCUCUCUGGAAUCGCAAUAGGCUCAAUAAUUCCUUGUAAAUUCUUUCCCAAUCCUCGACUAGGUUCAAACCCAUUUUUUAACAUCACCAUUGCAAUCAUUUUGUAUACAGAAGGCAUUGAUACUUUGGGCGUCGAAUCUCUGUCCGCAGCAUUUACAAUUUCCACUGUAUAGAAACUGCUACCUUUUGGAACAUCUUCAAUCACCGGCACAUAACCAUUAGGACGGUCCACUCGACUUCCUUCUCCUUGGAUGACUCCUUCAUGAUCUUCCCAAAUGAACUUCAAUAAUUGACGAAGGGGUGAUGAAACUGCCUUUGCACCAUGUAUCUAUGGUCUUCCCAAGAGCAGGUUGUAGCUAGGAUGGAUAUGCAUAACAUGAAACUUAGUCUUGAACUCAGCAAGCCGCAUUUUAGAUGUGCAAAUCAAUCUCUCCUAUGGUAUCUCUCUGACCACCAUUGAAUGCUCUCAUAUUUACAUGGCUUUGACGAAUUUUUCCUAAAUCAUAGCCCAUUUGAACCAACGUAGAGAGGGGAUAAAUAUUCACACCAGAUCCCCAUCUAUUAAUACCUGAUUAAUCUCAUAAUCGUGGCAAAUAAUGGUGACAUGCAUGGCUUUGUUGUGCGUCGCUCCUUCAAAUGACAAUUCUUCAUCACUGAAUGAUAUGCGAUGAUUCCCCACAAUGUUCCCUAUCAUCGCAGCCAGAUUCUCAACACUCAUUUCUGCAGGAAGAUAUGCUUCCUUCAAGACCUUCGAUAAAGCUUGUCGGUGGUAUUGCGAACUCAUUAAUAGCGCCAAGACAGAUAUUUGGGCUGGCAUUUUCUCCAAGAGUUUGACAAUUGAGUAAUCCUUUCGUUGCAUACGCCUCUAAAAUUCCUCAGCCUCUCCUUCAGUGAUUGGCAUUUUUUGUGAAUCUUUUUUGUUGGUCAAUUCCUCAGGGAUGUAAUAUCAUCCCAAUCGCAUCAUACCUUGGGCAGCAGUGGUUUGCACAAUAAAUUUCUUUCUUGGUGGGGGAGUAUACACUUGAGUCGGUGCAGUCAUCACUAUAAAUAGGGAUUUCUCGUUGAUACUCAAGGCAUCUACAGCCUUCGCUAUCUUUCCUACCUCUUCUGCUCAUUUGUGCUUUCCGUAGGUCACCUGGGUAAUGGUCUUGCCAGAUGCCCAUUCGCCCUCUAUUUCAAUCAUGUUAACUGUAGAUCCUCCAUGGUUGGGCAAUGGAUUACUUUUAACAUUUGGUGUAGGUUCCUGGAGCGUGAUGACCUUCUGAUCGAUUAAAUCCUGGAUCCUAUGUUUUAGGUAGCCACAAUCCUCUGUACUGUGCCCCGCUGCUCCUGAAUGAUAGGCACAAUGUUGACUUGAAUUAAAAAAUCGAAAGUUGGUAUUGACAUGCCUUGGCUGUAUUGGUUGUAAAUGACCAAUAUUCUUCAAUCUGUCAAACAAUUAGGUGCGACUUUUAGCUAGCGAGGUGAAGUUUCGAGGAGGUUUCUUUUCGUGGUUUGGCCGUUGGGGGUUGUACUGGCUUUGAUUUGUAGGAGGAGGUACUUGAUGAUAAUUUAGAGGCGCUUGGAAAUUUGUUCAGUUAUUUGGAGGAAUGGAUUGGAAAUAAGACUGAUAAUUUGGAGGUGGAGCUGGGUAUUGGGGAAAGAUAUUAGGUUGUGGAGCUUGGUAUGAGGAUUGGAUGUUUGGGAAUGGAGUUUGGUACUGAGGUGAGGUAUUUGGCUGUGGAGCUUGGUAUUGAGGGUGGGCAUAGAAUAUAUGUUGAAGGCUUGGUGACGGCGGAGAAGAGAAAACAUUCCUAGAGUUGAACCUCUUUUUCAUUUUUGCAACAGGAUUAGCAAAAAUCACACCUACAUCUUCCUUUUUCUUCUUCGAGAAUAUGCAAGUCCCAGACGACGUCGGGAUUUUGGCAAUUUUCCCUAUCCGAAUACCUUCUUGCAAUGAUUCUCCUAUUUUUACCAAAUCCGCAAAAGUUGCCCUGACAGCGGACACCAUCCUAGUAUAAUAUUCUCCUUCUUGAGCGCCAGAGAACACGAAUACCAUUUCCUCCUCAAACAUGGGGGUUGCACUUUGGCGGCUUCUUUCCUCCAACGAAAAGCAUAGUCUCGAAAACUCUCAACAUUUCUUUGUUUGAUCCGAUCUAGUGAAUAUCGAUCAGGGACUAUUUCAAUGUUGAAUACAACCGGUCAAGCAAACCCUUGGCCAAUGCUUUCCAACCAGUCCACUUUUUUGGCUCCUGAGACAUGAACCACUCCAAGGCUUCGCCACUCAAACUUCGACUGAAUAGGCACAUCAAUAUUGCCUCAUUUUUCCCUAUUCCUGCCAGUUACUCACAGUACCUUCUCAAAUGGGCCACUUGAUUUUUGGUACCAUCAAACAUUUCAAACUUAGGAACUUUGUACCCAUCUGGUAGGUCUACUCCAGGGUGAACACAUAAAUCAUUAUACCCGAAACCGUCGUGGUCUCUGGCUCCAUGAAACUAUUUGAUCCUUAUGAUCUCUUUCUUUAUAGCUAGUAAAUUUGUUUCAUGCCGGGUCCUCCACUCUUUUUCCUUCUCCUUGUAAUGGUCCAUCUCGGGGUUAGGAAGGUGUUCAUAAAUAUCAGAAGAUAUGAUGGCUUGAGGGGGAUUUGGAAGGGAGGCUUGAUUUUGUGGAAGAAAGGAACUUGGCUGGUAAGUGGGGAGGAUGUUUUGGAAAUUGGAAAGGUUCUGUGGACUUUGCGAGUAGUUUGGUGAAAUAUGAGAAGGAUUUUGCGGAUUUGGAACUGAAUUUAAUGGAUUUGGGAAUAGAUUCGAUGUAUUUUGUGGAUUUGGGAGUGAAUCUUGCGGAUUUGGGAAUACAUUUUGUUGAUUUGAGAAUGUGUUUUGAGGAUUUGGAAAUGGAUUUGAAGACGGGUUCUGUGGGGUUACAGAUGGAUUUUGUGGAUGAUAGGCGUCUGGGUUAUUUUCACGAUUAGUAUUUUGGACAAAUGGAGGGGCGGAGAUAGAUGAUACGUUAUUUGGCUGAUCCCCGAGAAUAGGUGUGUUGAGGGGAGAAAUUUAGAGUGGAGUCCUGUGUCCUCCUGGAGCGGGGGCAUUAACAGUGAUGGCCAAGUUAGCCAAAUUUCGAGUGUGAUUUAUUUCUGCCUGAAGCAUUUCUAACUGUCUUGCAAGUUCUGCAAUCAUUUCAUUCUAUUCCGCUAUCAUAUUUUCCCGGAUAAUCAGUGCGCUUUCUUCGUCAUUUUCUGUCAUUUUUGAAUGAUGGUCAAAGGAUAGGAUUUUGUGUGCUUUUGAUAGAGUGAAGUAGCGAUGUUCUGCCAGCUUAUAUCAACAUGGAGUAGUUUCUAUUAUCUUUAAAGUAAAACAACUCAAAGGCAGAUGUGUUAGUUUUCGUAUAUGAUAAGUAGUGCAAAAUAUUUGGUCGGAAAUAACCACAUAGAGUUGUUUGAGUCAUAGCCAAAUUCAUCCGUAGGACAUAGUGGAUAAACUUGCCUUUGAUCCAAACAAGCACACAUAAGCACAUAAAACAGUUAUAUCACACAAUAACAUUAUAAUAACGUGUAUCCUAGCUGGGGUGACCCUUUUUGAGUUCAGGCCUAAUGACUUUUGAAGAAAAUAUAUGCGUCCUCGAAGUCAAUCCAUUAACCCCCAACUUAUAUAGGCACGAAAAAGGGCAUAAAUUCCUACAAAAGAUAACUAAAAAGGGAUACAAUCUUUAGGGGAAAAGGGAAAUAACAUGAAAGAAGAUAAGUUCCCGCGCAGGGGAAAUAGAAAAACUACCUACUAGAGGCUCCUUCGUCUGCCUUUUCCCUCUUUGCCUUGUUUACCUUCUAUACUAUUUGAUACCUAUUAAUGAUAAGAUGACUCCCGCAUAAUUGUUCCUUGCAUUCAUAAGUCAUUUUCCCUAUACUAUUGAGUUGGGAGGUCAUGCUAUCAUCCAAAUUGAUUAGACGUUGCUUGGCAUCAUCAGCUUCUUGCCUAGCUCUUUUCAACUCUUCCCUCGACAUACGUAUGGUUAAAGCGUCCUCCAUGUGUAUCUGCCGGUGCGUGAUUUCACUUUUCUGGAACUCAUCUUGUAGCCUGUGGAGCCGAAUUUGAUGCUUGAAUUCUACAUCCACAACUCGAGUGGGCACAUUUGGUCCCAAAAUCAACGCUUUGGUGAGACUCUUUUUCAACCAUUCCUUGUAAGUGUCGCUGACUUCAGGGUCAUGCUCUAUACAGAAAGUCACUUCCGUCCACCUUCUUCUUCUCUAUCCAUUUACCAUGCUGUCAUUGAGCGGAGACUCACUUUCAUCGUAUUUGGUGAAAAACCUAAGCAUGGAAUCUAUUUAUGGUGCCUCUUGCUUGAUCCCGAAUUGCCUAAGAACUUUGCCAGGAUUGUAGGAACGGGUCCCCCUGAGACCGAGAAGCAUUAGAAAAGGCCAUUUUCCCCCUUGAAUGGUGUAUUUCCCUGAACAAAGAGAGUUAAUGGACCAUUGCACAUCGUCAUCUCUCAAUUCCCCGAAAGUCUUAGACCAAAAUUCGUGAGAUGUUUUCCUUUUGAACUUGUGUAGAAACAACUACAUGUCGUGCGAAGCCAGCAUAUCCACCCUUGUUUUAUGAUCAGGUUGUACCAUUUUUGAAUCCUUUACCAAAUGCUUCAUCAUCCACCAUUGUAAUAUGAGGUUGCAACCUUGAAAGAAAUAAUUUUUGACUUGACACCUUCCCAAGGCUCGAUAUAUGUCGGCGACAAUCAUGGGAGCUAAAUUGUGGAAUACCUUGGUGGAAUCGUAAUCUACUCCGAAGAAAAGUGCAUGAGCCACCGUAACAACCCUUGGAUGAAUUAUACCAUUCUCCCCCUGUGGGAACACCAUGGUUACAAGUAGACCUACCGUAAAUGCAAAGGCUCUCAUCUCCUUCCAUUUUGCUUUGGACUCAAAUUUAUGUCCAAAUUUGUGGAAGACAUUGAAUCUUCCAAACCGAUGAUACAACUCUUGAAAAGUGAUAUUUGCUCCAUCACGUUCCCCUAUCCAGGUGUUGUCGUCAGUAAAAAUGCCUCUUUAAUUGUUUGACGGUCCCAUACGGCAGGAACUAAAAUGUUCUUAUCAGGUUUUUCCUUUCUUUUGAAACACAUUUCAAUACUCUCAUAGCAAAUUAACAUUUCUUCGAUGGUAGGAGUCAAUUCCACAUCCCUGAAGCGAAACACCACAUUCUGAUCAUCCCAAAAAGUGGUAAGCACGUGGAUUAUUUCGGGCCAAGUAUUCAUUUUGAUUAAUGAAGGAAGGUAUCCGAUAUGUAUUCUAAUAAUUUUUCUCUCUGCUGCACUCAUAUAGUCCCACCAUAGUUUCAGGUAAUCGUCGGGUUUAGUAACCAUAUUGAACUUCUCGUGAGAAUGUAAUUAAGCCAUACCCUACACGAAAGUAAACAAAGAUAAGCCUUCCCCCGUCCCCCAAAAGGUAAUGGAUUGAAUUAGACUAGCACAUAUUUUUUCAACACAUAAAUAUAAUUUGUCUGUAAUUGACUCGAGAUCAAUAAACACAGGGCAGGUUUUCUAAUGGGUCCAAUACCCCGCUCGGGUAUUGGGUCGUCCUAGGCUCAUGCCUAAAAUAGGGUUUUGGUUUCGCUCUAUCCUAGGUAGCUAGAGUGGGUUUGAACACUGGUUCUCAAGCGGACAACUUGAGUUUGAAAAUACAAACAGCCAUCAGACGACUCACGGGCUAAUAAACUGUUUAUAUUUCCAACAAAUUAUUGGAAUUGAUCAAUAGGGGUCGGGAUACCCACGAAACCCCAAAACAGUUUAUAUAAUGCAGGAAUAUGCCGCGAGUGCGAUAGUUAAACCAUAUAGAAUCGGAAUAUAUAAACACAUAAACAGUUAAUCAAAAGAUGAAAUCAAAUAUUUGGUUAGAACCUAGUUCGAAAAAUUCCCAGCAGAGUCGCCAUUUCUAUUUUGACGAAAAUUUUUGACUUUUAGAGAGUCGCCACUUAAUUUUGAAUAGGAAUUAAGAAACCUUUGUAAAAUACUUAGGCGAUUUAGAACAGGAAAAUCAUUUAAGUUAGAGAUUCUAGAUAAGUGGUUCCUAUUAACGCACUUAAUUUUGAAAAGGAAUUAAGAAACCUUUGUAAAAUACUUAGGCGAUUUAGAACAGGAAAAUCAUUUAAGUUAGAGAUUCUAGAUAAGUGGUUCCUAUUAACGUUUUAGGAAGGUGUUAGGCACCUAAAACGUCCGCUAACUGGAGGUUAUCCAAUCUGUUUGAAAACAUUCUUUUGACUAACUUCAAAAGAAGAUUGAUUUUUGAAAAGAAACUCGAUUUUAGCGAUGUUUUGACGUUUAUGCAAAACUAGUUUUUAGCGACUUGACUAAGGGAUUAACUAGGUUCACAAGAAACAUGUAAACAAGACGGAAAAGGGAAAGNNNNNNNNNNGAAAGAGGAAAGGGGAGAAGUAGUGAUUUAGGCUUUUAAGCCCAAACCGUCGUCCCUGUCCUAAUCUAGUUUUUGAGCUUUUAGCUCGAAUCUUGCUCCACCUAUAUUAAGUACAACUUUGGUUUCGAGGCCCGAAUAAAUGAAUAAGCAAAUAAAUAAAUAAGUAAAGACGACUAUAAGUAAAUAAAUAAAAUAACAAUUGAGAUUUUGAAUCUUGUAGCUGCUUCAAAUGUGGGACUCUAACCCAUUCUUCUCCUUUUGAUUCCUUGAGUUAGUAUUGUGCCAUAAGAUCGAUGUAAUCGAUUUUAGGUCCUCUAAAGGAUGGGCCUCCAUGGCCCAUUGCGUAAUGCAAGGAAAAAGAGCCCAAUUGGACUCCCAAAGUAGUUCAUUCAAAAAGAAAAGAAAAAGAAUCAGUAUCUAUCCAAAGGUGUCACGUGACAUAAUGCGGAAGCAAAUGGCCCAAAGUUUCUAGAAUUAAAGCAAACAUUCCAACUACAGAAAAUCUAGCAACAAGUGAGAGCAAUAUCAGUGGAGAAGAGAGCUAUUGGUGAAGACAAGACUAUAAUGACAAAGAUAUACCAAAAAUGAUAGAAUUAGAUUCGGAAAAAAUUUCACUUUAUCAAACUUAUUAGCUUGUAACUGUGGUUCAACUAAAUUUUGACCUCUUUUUAAUUGAGAAGGGGAAGAUAGGGAGAAGGAAACCAAGCAGAUUAUUCGAUCAUAUAAUGAAUUAAAGGGUCUAAUAUAAUCCAUUAAUGAUCUUGAAUCACCACAAAGCAACACCAAACUAGAACAUGGGAUUUGAUUUUCCACUGAGACUUGAAACGUUAGGAUAUGGGUGAAAAUAAUUUUUUUUUUAAUCGGUAAAUUUAAGAAAAUUUCAGUCCAAAUUUUGAAUAGGAGAAAAAGUGUGUUGAGGCCGAAGAAACCUUUAACCGUGAUAAGAAAAUUCUGUUCACUUGACGUAAUGUUAAAGAAAGGAACACAAGGUUAAAGGAAGGAAACUUUCAGCUACAGGGGUGUCACUAUGGAUUUUUUUUCCAGCAACUAAGCAACACAAACAUAACUUAUUCGUAGAAGAACAGUACAACUAGCAUUGUGACACUAGGAUACAAAGCAAUUAGUCAAAUAAUAGUAAAUUGGACCCUAAUAUUGAAAUAUGAAAUAAUAUUUUGAUGACCUAUUCAAAAUCCAUACUGCAGUAAGUUUGAAGACUAACUAAACACCCAUUAUGAGACGAAAGCACUGAUUUAAUAGUUAAGCAAAUGAAACGAUAAGUCGGAAGAAAAUUAUCCGUAUAAUUUUCACCAAGGCAAAGUUAAUACCAAAACGAUGAUUGAGAUCCACCGAUAGAAAGUGUCGACAUAAAUAGCGACCUAAACAACAUAUUCAGGAAGAUGCUUAAGACAUUAACGACUAAAAAAUAACAUCACCACGAGACAAUAAGCUUACACCCAUCGAACUGACACAUAGGAGAUUGACGAUUAAUCGGAAGGUUAUAAUACAAAUAGCGAUGCAACAAACAAACGCAGCGAUAAUCAUUACAAGUAAAUCUUAUAGCCAUCGAAGCCAUCUGCAACAGGCGUCUCUAGGCAUUCUAUGACUGAUAACGGUGCUAACGAACAAUGAAAAAGAAUAUCGAAAUUAAUAGGAUGAGGAGUUUACCUUUUUCGGAAUAGAAAACAGGGCUCGAACCUAUAAUAAAAGUUCGACCACCACUAUUGGAAGGUUCCCAAAGAGAGGUUUCUUCAUUCGCACCUAGACAACUUAGAAAGGAUUCUUUCAGAACACCAAAUUUCACUCCCCAAUUUUUGAGACUCUGAUUUUUCCCUCUUCUGAUUUUCCCAACCCUAGGUUCCCAGUGAAGAAUCCAAAAGAAAAAAAAAAUCCUCCUGUUAGCAGUGACCAAGGGGUCUAUUUAUAGAAAACCAAUUAGGAGGGGUCUGUUUGGGAAUUUUUCUGGAAAAGAUCUUUUGAAAUUCCAUUCCCAAAUCCCUCCUACAACCCAUUUUCGCGCCCCAGAAUCAUACCAUCUUUUAGAUUUUUUCCCCAAGAAAAUAAAAUGGGUGGAGCAAUAGAAUUAGGGAAAAAUGAAUUCUCCCCCAUAUCCAAUGAAAAGCUACCAAGUAUGUAUGAAAUCGUACCGUCGUUAUCGAAAUUUGAGGAAUUUAUCCGUUAAGGGAAAACCUAAGCGUCUUCUAGAGAAUUAUUAAACUGAUUUUGCAUCAAAAAUCGUGCUAAUCACAUGAGGAUUGAACUCUAGUAAAGGUGAGGGCGUUUGGACGAGAACAAGCUGGUUUGAAUUUGGGUUCGGGUCACCGUUAAAAUGAUUUGAUUUGGGGACUGGAUCGUUCGUAGGUUUUUGGUGUUUGAAUAUACGGUGUUCUUGUGGAGAAGAGGGUAUAAGGAGGAUAUUUGAUGUGGGCCAGGUCAG
rnacentral:lncRNA from 1 species